rnacentral:lncRNA from 1 species
CGAGUGGCCUCCCUCCAGAGACGCGAGUGGCGACGGCGAGGGCGCUGCUCCGCCUGAGCUAGUGUCUGCAGGAGGAUCCGCGCUGGAGUGAAUGUGGUCGGGGAAGGAGUGUGGUGGUGGAGGAAAGAGAGCUGUGCCUGGAGAGGUCUAUUGAUCGCGCGCGGCGGCGGUGUUGUCCGUGCGCACUGCGGCCGCGCCAGGCAGCCCGCCCACCCCUAGUUCCAACAUGGCGGUCGAGUGUGCGGGGGAGCGCUCGCGGGCUCUCGCUAGUGUUAGCUAAGCAGUUUGAUGUGCUCUCGGAUUACUUACCUGACUCCUCCACCAUGCAGAAGGAGAACAGUCACCCUCCAGACCACCACCAAUAUGUGGGUCCGUACAGGCUGGAGAAGACCCUGGGGAAGGGGCAGACUGGUCUGGUGAAACUUGGGGUACAGUGCGUGUCCGGCAAGAGAGUAGCUAUAAAGAUUAUUAACAGAGAAAAAUUAAGUGAAUCCGUUUUACAGAAGGUAAAAAGAGAAAGAG